CAGUCGCCGCGGGAAAACGAAGGGGGCUAGCGUUGUUCGGAAUCACUGGGCGUAAAGCGCACGUAGGCGGACCUUUAAGUCAGGGGUGAAAGCCUGGAGCUCAACUCCAGAACUGCCUUUGAUACUGGAGGUCUCGAGUGUGGAAGAGGUUGGUGGAACUGCGAGUGUAGAGGUGAAAUUCGUAGAUAUUCGCAAGAACACCAGUGGCGAAGGCGGCCAACUGGUCCAUUACUGACGCUGAGGUGCGAAAGCGUGGGGAGCAAACAGGAUUAGAUACCCCCGUAGUCCCUGUCUCUUAUAC
rnacentral:rRNA from 1 species